ACAGGAUUAGAUACCCUGGUAGUCCACGCUGUAAACGAUGUCGACUUGGAGGUUGUUCCCUUGAGGAGUGGCUUCCGGAGCUAACGCGUUAAGUCGACCGCCUGGGGAGUACGGCCGCAAGGUUAAAACUCAAAUGAAUUGACGGGGGCCCGCACAAGCGGUGGAGCAUGUGGUUUAAUUCGAUGCAACGCGAAGAACCUUACCUACUCUUGACAUCCACGGAAUUCGCCAGAGAUGGCUUAGUGCCUUCGGGAACCGUGAGACAGGUGCUGCAUGGCUGUCGUCAGCUCGUGUUGUGAAAUGUUGGGUUAAGUCCCGCAACGAGCGCAACCCUUAUCCUUUGUUGCCAGCACGUAAUGGUGGGAACUCAAAGGAGACUGCCGGUGAUAAACCGGAGGAAGGUGGGGAUGACGUCAAGUCAUCAUGGCCCUUACGAGUAGGGCUACACACGUGCUACAAUGGCAUAUACAAAGAGAAGCGAACUCGCGAGAGCAAGCGGACCUCAUAAAGUAUGUCGUAGUCCGGAUUGGAGUCUGCAACUCGACUCCAUGAAGUCGGAAUCGCUAGUAAUCGUAGAUCAGAAUGCUACGGUGAAUACGUUCCCGGGCCUUGUACACACCGCCCGUCACACCAUGGGAGUGGGUUGCAAAAGAAGUAGGUAGCUUAACCUUCGGGAGGGCGCUUACCACUUUGUGAUUCAUGACUGGGGUGAAGUCGUAACAAGGUAACC
rnacentral:rRNA from 1 species